rnacentral:rRNA from 1 species
CAGUAGCCACGGUAAUACGAAGGGUGCAAGCGUUAAUCGGAAUUACUGGGCGUAAAGCGUGCGUAGGCGGUGAGUUAAGUCUGCUGUGAAAUCCCCGGGCUCAACCUGGGAAUGGCAGUGGAUACUGGCUCGCUAGAGUGUGUCAGAGGAUGGUGGAAUUCCCGGUGUAGCGGUGAAAUGCGUAGAGAUCGGGAGGAACAUCAGUGGCGAAGGCGGCCAUCUGGGACAACACUGACGCUGAGGCACGAAAGCGUGGGGAGCAAACAGGAUUAGAUACCCCCGUAGUCCCUGUCUCUUAUAA